rnacentral:rRNA from 1 species
GCGUGAGUGAUGAAGGCCCUAGGGUUGUAAAGCUCUUUCAGCGGGGAAGAUAAUGACGGUACCCGCAGAAGAAGCCCCGGCUAACUUCGUGCCAGCAGCCGCGGUAAUACGAAGGGGGCUAGCGUUGCUCGGAAUCACUGGGCGUAAAGCGCACGUAGGCGGGUCGUUAAGUCGGGGGUGAAAGCCCGGAGCUCAACUCCGGAACUGCCUUCGAUACUGGCGAUCUUGAGUCCGGGAGAGGUGAGUGGAACUGCGAGUGUAGAGGUGAAAUUCGU